rnacentral:rRNA from 1 species
GAUGAACGCUGGCGGCGUGCCUAAUACAUGCAAGUCGAGCGAACAGACGAGGAGCUUGCUCCUCUGACGUUAGCGGCGGACGGGUGAGUAACACGUGGAUAACCUACCUAUAAGACUGGGAUAACUUCGGGAAACCGGAGCUAAUACCGGAUAAUAUAUUGAGCCGCAUGGUUCAAUAGUGAAAGACGGUUUUGCUGUCACUUAUAGAUGGAUCCGCGCCUCAUUAGCUAGUUGGUAAGGUAACGGCUUACCAAGGCAACGAUGCGUAGCCGACCUGAGAGGGUGAGCGGCCACACUGGAACUGAGACACGGUCCAGACUCAUACGGGAGGCAGCAGUAGGGAAUCUUCCGCAAUGGGCGAAAGCCUGACGGAGCAACGCCGCGUGAGUGAUGAAGGUCUUCGGAUCGUAAAACUCUGUUAUUAGGGAAGAACAAAUGUGUAAGUAACUAUGCACGUCUUGACGGUACCUAAUCAGAAAGCCACGGCUAACUACGUGCCAGCCGCCGCAGUAA